AGCGAACGCUGGCGGCAGGCUUAACACAUGCAAGUCGAACGCCCCGCAAGGGGAGUGGCAGACGGAUGAGUAACACGUGGGAACGUACCCUUUGGUUCGGAAUAACUUGGGGAAACUCAAGCUAAUACCGGAUAAGCCCUUAUGGGGAAAGGUUUACUGCCGAAGGAUCGGCCCGCGUCUGAUUAGCUAGUUGGUGAGGUAAUGGCUCACCAAGGCGACGAUCAGUAGCUGGUCUGAGAGGAUGAUCAGCCACACUGGGACUGAGACACGGCCCAGACUCUUACGGGAGGCAGCAGUGGGGAAUAUUGGACAAUGGGGCAACCCUGAUCCAGCCAUGCCGCGUGAGUGAUGAAGGCCUUAGGGUUGUAAAGCUCUUUUACCCGGGACGAUAAUGACUGUACCGGGAGAAUAAGCCCCGGCUAACUUCGUGCCAGCCGCCGCGGUAA
rnacentral:rRNA from 1 species